rnacentral:rRNA from 1 species
GAUUAACGCUGGCGGCGUGCAUAACACAUGCAAGUCGAACGAUGAAACUUAACUGAUUUCUUCGGAAUGAUUUUAAGUGGAUUAGUGGCGGACGGGUGAGUAACGCGUGAGUAACCUGCCUUGGAGAAGGGGAUAGCCUUUGGAAACGAAGAAUAAUACCCUAUGAUAUGAUAAUAUCUCAUGAUAUUAUCAUCAAAGAUUUAUCGCUCUAAGAUGGACUUGCGUCUGAUUAGUUAGCUGGGGAGGUAACAGCUCACCAAGGCAGCGAUCAGAAGCCGGCUCUGAGACGCGGACGGCCCCAUUGCGACUGGGACCCGGCCCGAACUCCUGCGGGAGGCAGCAGGGGGGAAUUUUGCACACCGCGGGAAACCCUGAUGCCGCGGCGCCGCGUAAUUUAGAAGGCCUUCGGGUUGUAAAAAUCUUUUGUAUGGGAAGAAAAUGACAGUACCAUAAGAAUAAGGACCGGCUAAUUACGUG